rnacentral:lncRNA from 1 species
CUAGGUUUAAUUCCCAAUUUCAUAUAAUGUCUCCAAGGAAAGUGAAAAAAUAAGGGCCGAGAUAGAGGAAUCUAUUGUUUAGUAAUCCAAAAAUAGUCCCCUGGAAACAAGUCUUAUGGGUUGCCUUUAAACCAAUGCCACUAACUAUCCACAACAUAUUUCUUUUAUAGAUUUCCUUCUCUGGAACUAUAUUUCUCAUUGCAUAUUCCUUCCAACGGAGCAAUCCUCAG